rnacentral:rRNA from 1 species
CCUACGGGAGGCAGCAGUGGGGAAUAUUGCACAAUGGGGGAAACCCUGAUGCAGCGACGCCGCGUGAGUGAAGAAGUAUUUCGGUAUGUAAAGCUCUAUCAGCAGGGAAGAAAAUGACGGUACCUGAUUACGAAUCCCCGGCUAACGACGUGCCAGCAGCCGCGGUAAUACGUAGGGGGCAAGCGUUAUCCGGAUUUACUGGGUGUAAAGGGAGCGUAGACGGCAGCGCAAGUCUGAAGUGAAAUGCCGGGGCUUAACCCCGGAACUGCUUUGGAAACUGGGCAGCUAGAGUGAAGGAGAGGUAAGUGGAAUUCGUGGUGUAGCGGUGAAAUGCGUAGAUAUUAGGAGGAACACCAGUGGCGAAGGCGGCUUGCUGGACUGUAACUGACGUUGAGGCUCGAAAGCGUGGGGAGCAAACAGGAUUAGAUACCCUAGUAGUC